UACUGUUAGUGAUGAUUUAUAUAGUAAUACAAUGGGAAUCUCUCUGAAAGAGAAUGAAGAUUUUCUUUUCCUGAAACAGUA